UACGAUGGGGGCUAGCGUUGCUCGGAAUCACUGGGCGUAAAGGGUGCGUAGGCGGGUUCUUUAGUCCGAGGUGAAAUCCUGGAGCUCAACUCCAGAACUGCCUUUGAUACUGAGAGUCUUGAGUUCGGGAGAGGUGAGUGGAACUGCGAGUGUAGAGGUGAAAUUCGUAGAUAUUCGCAAGAACACCAGUGGCGAAGGCGGCUCACUGGCCCGAUACUGACGCUGAUGCACGAAAGCGUGGGGAGCAAACAGG
rnacentral:rRNA from 1 species